rnacentral:rRNA from 1 species
UACGGAGGGUGCAAGCGUUAUCCGGAUUUACUGGGUUUAAAGGGUGCGUAGGUGGAUAAUUAAGUCAGUGGUGAAAUCUUCAGGCUUAACCUGGAAACUGCCAUUGAUACUAUUUAUCUUGAAUACUUUGGAGGUAAGCGGAAUAUGUCAUGUAGCGGUGAAAUGCUUAGAUAUGACAUAGAACACCAAUUGCGAAGGCAGCUUACUACACAGUAAUUGGCACUGAGGCACGAAAGCGUGGGGAUCAAACAGG